rnacentral:misc_RNA from 1 species
GAUGAAGAACGUAGCGAAAUGCGAUAAGUAAUGUGAAUUGCAGAAUUCAGUGAAUCAUCGAAUCUUUGAACGCACAUUGCGCCCCCUGGUAUUCCGGGGGGCGUGCCUGUUCGAGCGUCAUUUCACCACUCAAGCCUCGCUUGGUAUUGGGCAACGCGGUCCGCCGCGUGCCUCAAAUCGUCCGGCUGGGUCUUCUGUCCCCUAAGCGUUGUGGAAACUAUUCGCUAAAGGGUGUUCGGGAGGCUACGCCGUAAAACAACCCCAUUUCUAAGGUUGACCUCGGAUCAGGUAGGGAUACCCGCUGAACUUAAGCAUAUCAAUAAGCGGAGGA